rnacentral:lncRNA from 10 species
AAUGAGAUCCCUACGAAUGGGAACUAACAGAGAGAGUGGUCUCAGGUCUUGCUAUCUGUUACUUAACAAAAAUCGGCACAGGAUGCAGAGUUCAGUACAGUAUGAAAUGCAGUUUUGAGAAGAGCUGUAAGGUUGCAAGAGACAGUAAGAAAAUACAAAGUAGCUGUUGCAGCUAAAGUCCCGCUGAAUACCUGGAUGACAACAGGCACUUUAGCCCGAUGAUGAGGGCAUCCUAUUUGGUUAAAAGGGGCAGUGACAGGGAAAUGAAACAGGGACACAUAAAAACAUACUUACAAAACCUGUGGUUUAAAAAAGAAUAAAUCUGUAGAAAGAUGGACAUAGAGUUGGGAUUUGGUAAGUAUCAUUUUAUUUUAUGAGUAUGAAAACAUGAAUUCUAUGGGGAUUUAUUUCUGACCCUUUUUAUAACCCAGGGAAACACAGCACUGUAUUACAUCCAUUCCAUUCUUAUCUAUUGACCUAUUUUAUUCACUGAUUUCUCAAGUGGGGAAACUGACUAAAUCAUUUCACAAAGCUUUCUCUGUAAUCAAUAGUCAUUUUUUAGGUUUAUUCAUGCUGCAUUAUAAUUCUGGUAAAUGACUGCAAAGCAGAAGAUUGUAAGAAAGAUACAAAUAUUGACAAAGCCAGGAUAAGUCAUGUCUUUAAACCUUCAGAGUUUCAAUAUAAUUGAUAUCAUUAUUUGAAAAAAGGGAAAUGCAUAUUUCAUAGCAUAUAAAAAACUAAAAUGAUGGAGUAACUUAAAGGCAAUAUAUAUCUGAAUGUAUUUCUUGAAUAUCUCAAAUUUUCCUAAAAGCUUUGAGUAUCCUCUUUCUAUAGCAUCACUAAGUGAAACGGAAACAAUUUGGGCAUAUGCAGAAAUGACAAGAAGAAAAGAUUCAUUGCAAUUUUAUUAUUUUAAUUUUUUCCCAAGUUCUCUUAGAGACAUACACAAAAACAUACAGAUGCAUAUUCCAGAUAUAGAAUGAAUCCCUUUCAGUGACAGGACAAGGAGAUAAAAUGCUUAAUAGAUUCAAAAGGAGAUUUACCAUUCUAAGCACGACGUCACUCUAAUUAUGUUUACUCUAAUUGAAAGCAGGGUUUUUUGGAAUCUGAAAUUACUUUCAGAUUUUUUUUUAAAUAAUGCAAGUAGAUCAAAUGUUGAUCACAAGCAUUUCAAUCUUUCAAAAUGUAUUGGAAAAUUAAAUGAAAAGUGGAGUUUGGUACAAACAAUGCCCCAGGGCAAAAAACAACUAACACUAGAUUUUCCAGUCCAGCCAUAACACAAAUCAAUUUGAGCACACUUCUAUGGCCAGACUGCCAGAUUGUUAUGACUGCUAAUUCACUCAAUCAAAGAGUGCAUUAGCACACCCGGCACAAAUAGCCUUAACAAUAGAGUGCAUUUCUCAACAAUUCCAAGAUAUAUCACAAUGGAGAGGUAAAGAGGAAGAUCAUUUUUAUAUCUACAUAUUUACUAAUGGACCUGUUUCCUUAGGAGAAAAAAAAAAAAAGAUCAACUUCAAGCAUAGGUUUAUUAAAGAGCUAUCAAAGUUUGGCAAAUCUAAAAAGAUAUCAGGGUACCAGUAGUUCACUGACUUUGUUAAACGUUUCUCAGGAGAGAAUCCAAAAUUGAUGUUUGCACUUCAGUAGUAAAUCAUUGAAGAUGGAGAAAUUAUGCCAAGUGACUCUCUCAAGCCUUUUUAACUCAGACGCACUGCCUCCUCAAUCAGCUCAGCAGAUAAACCUCAACUACCUUAAGCAAAGACUUCCUUACUUUUACACUUUCAGUCUCUGUCUCCCCACUUUUCCUUCCAACUUCUGACUUUUGAUGACUCUUACUUCCAUACCUUCCCUCUCUUUUCCACUGCCCUCCUUCUCCUCAAGAACAAUAUAAGACUUAAGGAUGCAUUCUCUAAUCAAGCACAGAGAGCUUGGUGAUGAAUUACCCAAAGGACAAAAGGUAGGGAGCUGAAGGAGAACAGAUCAUAACUUGAAGCACUCAACUUUAUAUUGCCAACUUUCAUUCUUAAUAAAGAAGUGGUUAAAAUGGUUAUAAAUAGUUCUGCUCUGCUUUACACCAUGGAAAUGCGUGGACUGUGUAUAUAUGCUUACUGAAUGCAUUGUAAUUGUCUAUUCACAUUCACCUUACAUAGUUCCCAUAGACAAAUGGUGCCAUUUGGCACCACUGUUAGUCCCUCCCUAACCCAUCCUCAUCACCUUUUCUCCUGGUUCAGGAUGAAGGUGACAUAUGGCAAAAAAUACUCCACUGGUCAUGGGGUAUAUUCUCAGAAAUCUCUAAACUCAGAUUGAAGAGAGAAGGUAGUGGCAAGAAGAAUAGUUACACACAAAAAAAAAUUCAUCCUGGAAUUGCUUCCCUCAUUUCAAACUGCAUCGCUUCUAUGACACAUGGUCAACUUUCCAUGAUAAUGUAGUUAUCCUUUUCUAUCACUACUUACUUCCAGUUAAGUGUCCUUAAUUUCAUCUGUAGGUUGGUAUUAAGGGCUGCCCAGCCUACUGUUCAAUUAAAAAAAAUAAAUACAUUGAGAUCAUUGUAGAGUCAGAUUGUAAAAGGAAGCAGCAACAAGAAUAAUAUAAAUUGAGAUUAAUCCCCUUCAUCUCUUAAAUCAGGUCAUUGUGAGAGGAAUGGUGCACUUGACUGAAAUAAGGUCAAAAAGUCAGACAGAUAUUUAAAUCCCUAGUUUUGUAAUAAAUAUUGUACUUGUAACUGUACCUUUUAAUAUAUGGCAUUUUCUAAUUGUCAUAUUCUUUUCUCUUUAAAUAACCCAACACUCGCUUUCCUCUAAAGAAGAUCAGCAUGAAGGCAUAUGAAUUGCUCAAGAGACAUAGUUGAGAGUGGGGAGAGGACGUAUAAUCUGUUAUAGCAUAAAAAUAUGUUUGAUAUUGAAGCAUAAAUUACUCUGUAGUUUUUCAGCCUUAGGAGAAAUGUAUUUUACUUCAUUAUAAAAGUUUCUGUUGAUUUUCUAUAUGCUUUGUUGUUUUAACUUAUUAUCUUGGUCCUUUUUCUUUCUCUAUGCUCAAAAGAAGAGGACAUUGUCCAACAAAUAGCCUAUAAAAAUUGUUUUAUUUGAAGUCAGAAAUUUCAUGGAUUGUUAGAAAAGAAUAAAGUGUUUAUUUAUUUAUUGCCUUCCAGAACAAAGAGAUUUUUUAAAAAGUUGAAAGAAGAACAAUUGCCACCUUCUAGCCUGAGAUCUUGUAUGUCAAGUUUCAGCCCAGAGCAAAUUUUUACAACAAGUUAUAAACCCCUGUAACAGAGGGUUUAUUAUAAUGGAAGUGCUGACACAACCUUAACUAUAGCGUUGUAAACGGCUAUGCUAUAAUAUCCAUUAAGCAGAAAGAAAAAUAAGCUGGCUGAUCAAUAAUUUAUACAAAGAGUACCAACUGCAGACAUAAUAACUGUAAUGUUUGCAAAGCAAUCUCUCUGCUCUCCAGGCUUAACAGUAAACGCAAACUAGCAAUGCUGUUAAUUUCCAACUCCUACAGAUAAGAAUACAAACAAAUUACUUAAAAUUAUAUUUUGCUCAACAUUUAGCAUGCCUCGAUGGGAUAAAAUAAAAUUUAAUUAUGAUGCAACUUGUGCCGGAUGCAAAGCUGUUUUGUUUUCCAGCACAUUUUAUUAUGAAAGGACAUUCAUUUGGAACAUCAAUUAUGGGGAAAUAGUAUGUUUCAAGGAGUUGACUUGGGUCAGGCAGGCUCUUCUAAGAGUUAUUCAGACAUGGAAACAGACUGACACUGUUUAACUUCAAAGAAAGUUACAGGGUUUUACAAAGCCACAACCUGAAAUACAAUACUGCAUGCUCUGAUCCAAGUCAACUGUCAGUAAAAACACACCUUGUCAUUAUAGUUUAUGGGAAAAAAGACAUUGGUUUGGAAAAUGUGGC